rnacentral:tRNA from 1 species
GGGCGCGUAGCUCAGCUGGCUAGAGCACCUCGUUUACACCGAGGGGGUCCGGGGUUCGAGUCCCUGCGCGCCCACCA